CCGGCUUCUUCACCAAACCCAGGCAGGCACGUGCAACACGAUCACGCAGAAACUCAGACGACACAAGCCAAACCAUGAUAUGUUCACAUUUAUUGUGCAGUGACUUUUAUAUACAUAUAUUUUAUACACCUAAUUUACAUCAACAGAAAUAAAUUAAUCUGCUAAUAGUUCAUAAUUGUUCUUUAGUGUCGACAGCGUGCGAGCGUGCCGACGCCACGAUAAGAGAGGGGGCACAUUUCCGAUCGGUCAUGUGAUUGACAAGGCAGAAUCAUGUGACUACGUCGAGAUUAGUCUACGUUCAAAUUAGUGUUCACACGUUACACAUUUCAAGAAUCCGUCAGUAGGUCUUUAAGCUAGGAGAUACAGUGUUACACAAUCAAAAGGGUGCAUUACAGAAUGCUACGUUUGUCUCACUACAAAACAUUCAAAAUGCAGUGUCUUUCUCACGACUAUAAAAACGGUGUCUCGCAUCUCGGCUAGAGAGACUCUACUCUGGAGGUUACAGGCAGAUUGUGUACUUUUCGGACAACAAUGUUGUGAAGUGUGUGUCUGUGGAUGAUGGCUGCUUCAAGCGGCCUCCCCUGGCACGAGGCAGACUGAUUAGACUCUGGGGCUGGGUGAGGCCGCACACCUGGGGUGAGUUGGGGGAUCCAUGCACACAGUAUGAACCAGCCAUCACCACCACACAGAGUCCACACAUGUAUUUUCCAUUAUAGUUGGCAGUCUAAAUCAAAAGGCAUCACUUUCUCUUGUUGUUUUUACUGCAGUUAAUCUCAUUAAGUUUAGUACUUAAAAUACAAUGUUAUAAAAUACAUAUUUUUUUAUGUAUUUUCGGAUUGAUACAUUUAUUGAUAUUACUCAGCCAGAGGAGGUUACAGAAGCAAGCUAACGACAUGGCCAACGCAAUACCGGGAAGCCCAAACCAAAUCUUCAAACUGUCUUUGUUUCUUUUUCUUCCUUUACAUGGCUAUUUCUACAAUCGCUAAAUACAUCAACACACACAAGCAACCUAAAACACACCUUUGCAGUAUUUACGGUUCGAUAUAUAUAUCUUGUUUCGUUUAAUAAAAACUAAAUCUACGAAGCAAAUGUGUAACUUGCCAGGAGUGUAGUGUACAUUUCUUUUAGUGCUUGCAAACAAAAAUACAAAAUACAAUUCUUGACAUAACCGAGGCGAGAGUGACCCCUGGAGCCUUGGCGGGAAAAAAACAUUCAAAUUAAACAAAAAUAAAACGGACUCAAAGUGUAAACCGUCAAAGAAGAGGUCCUCCACUACGAGUCCACCCUUUGUAAAUCAUAGGACAGUGAGGGGCUCUAAACACGCAGUCUAAAGAGGGGGCCGGCUGGGGGC
ensembl:lncRNA